AGAUUUUUUUUGACACUGACGUUAGUAAUUUCUUUUUUGAAAAAUUCAGUUGUCAGAAGUGUCUGGAAAUUACUACAAAACCAACGCACCUGCUCAUAUCCAAUAUUAUUAAUAGUAAACAGACAUAAAAAUAACAUAAACCUUACGCCAAUCAAUAUUUAUUUAUUUAAACCAUUAUAAUGUAUUGAUAGCAAAUGAGAAAAUUAUUUAUUGUACAAAAUAAAAAUAUUUUGUAGAAAUAAACUUCACAAAAUUUUAUGAGAUUAGUAGACACUCCCACUAUUUCUAAUAAUUCUUCUUUUUUUAAUGAAAGAUUAAGUUGAUUUGAGUUGAUUUUAGCAGUUAAUAGUGUGAGGUAGGAAUUUUUGUGUUGUAGGUUUCCUAUUCCGAAUGUCUCAAAAAAAAUCUCGCGAGAGCGAAUGUAGUAUAUAUAGGUCUGUUCCUUUGUUUUUUAGUGUUACACUUUUGAGUGUAAGUGUACGAAAUUCUAUGGACAUUCGAGUGUAAAAUGACAGCGGAUGUGACAGCGGCUCAUGACAGCGGACAGUAUUAAAGGAAAAUUAUCGGUGUGCCAAUCAAGCAAAGGGACAAGGAACUUCCGAAUAUGGCCUAACUGGGGGCACAUAACAUAACAUAACCUAAUCCUAAUAUUUACAUUUGUAAAGAAUAUCCUGUUUGUUUUUAUUGUCGAUUGUGCAGCGAAAUUGUGUGCAGCAAAUCAAAUAUAAAGUAGUUUAUCGCCUACAGAACUGAAUUAGUCCAUAGCAGUUAUCAGUUUUUCUUUCUUGUGAAGCUUAUACAUGUAACUUGUAUUGUUGUAAAUUGUGGGAGUAGGGCAGACAGGGAAAAGUCUUAUUUUGUACUGUUCCCAAGGCUCCCCAUGCAAUACAUUUAAAUGAAUUAUCCAAACAAAGCCGGGGACAAUGGAUAAAAGCCACAAGAAGAACAGAUAUAAGGGAACUAAAAUUAAAAUAUGAAAAGUAAACAUUUUAUAAGUGGAACAACCACCAGAUAUUUAAAAGGUAUAAAAAGAAGAAACUGCUGGAAUUUCAAAACAAAUGUGUUUGACUAGUAAAGAUUUGGAUAAAUAACAGGAGUUACUUUGGGCUAUAGCUACGUGCAGAUUUAUUUCCUUGUGGCUUCCUAUGUUAAUUCUUAUUAAUUAUACACUUAAAUAUGUUUUUAGUCUCAGGAAGAUUUUAUAUUUGAUUAUUUUUGAAUAAACAUUAUUAUUAUUAUUACCUUAAUUUCCAUUAAAUAAAUUAACUGUAAUCAAUAAAGUAAUCGUUUAAUUGUUAAUAAAUUAUCAAGUAUGA